GAAAAGAGUAUCCUCCUGAGAUAGUGAUGCUGUUCCCGUCUCUUAAGGAUCCAUAUACCAAGGAAGGCUAUGAACACUUCUAUGAUGCUGCAAGCAGCAGAGGAUACAUUUCGUGGCAUCUAUAAACAGUCCAGAGGAGGAUCAGCAUCCCCAUCUUGCUAUGACUGUCAUGCUGCAGUCUGGAUGAGCAUCUCCACAAGUAGCAUCACAAGGGCAAGACAGACAACUUUUACUUUUGGAUAAGUAUCUCAUCCAAAGCCAGGCAAAGCUCAUACAAUGAUUCAGGAUUUCACAUGUCCCAAGAAAAGCUGAAAACAUCAUACAAAAGCAUGAAAUAGCGU